UUUUAAUAUUUUAGAGGAGGAUCAAAGUCAAUGUUAUCACGAGA
rnacentral:sRNA from 1 species